UUAUGAAAAAUCUGACCUGCUCUAUGUAAAUGGCCGCGGUAUUUUGACUGUGCUAAGGUAGCAUAAUAAUUUGUUCUUUAAUUGGGGACUGGAAUGAAAGGUUGGACGAAAAAUUAACUGUCUUGAGAAUUUGAAAUUGGUUUAACGUGAAGAGGCGUAAGGGACGAGAAGACCCUAUUAAGCUUUAUUAUUUUAUUGGGGCGAUAAUGAUGAUAAAGGGAUUAAGUUACUAUAGGGAUAACAGCGUGAAAUUUUCGGAGAGAUCAUAUUGAUGGGAAGUUUUGCGACCUCGAUGUUGAAUUAAAUCUACCUGGAGAAGGACUUUUAAUUUUUUACA
rnacentral:rRNA from 1 species